UACAGAGGGUGCAAGCGUUAAUCGGAAUUACUGGGCGUAAAGGGCGCGUAGGUGGUUGUUUAAGACGGUUGUGAAAUCCCUGGGCUUAACCUAGGAAUGGCAAUCGAGACUGAAUGACUGGAGUACGGUAGAGGGUAGUGGAAUUUCCGGUGUAGCGGUGAAAUGCGUAGAGAUCGGAAGGAACACCAGUGGCGAAGGCGACUACCUGGACAGAUACUGACACUGAGGCGCGAAAGCGUGGGGAGCAAACAGG
rnacentral:rRNA from 1 species